rnacentral:rRNA from 1 species
UGGGGAAUCUUCCACAAUGGACGCAAGUCUGAUGGAGCAACGCCGCGUGAGUGAAGAAGGCUUUCGGGUCGUAAAACUCUGUUAUUGAAGAAGAACGUGUGUGACAGUAACUGGUCAUGCAGUGACGGUAUUCAAUCAGAAAGUCACGGCUAACUACGUGCCAGCAGCCGCGGUAAUACGUAGGUGGCAAGCGUUGUCCGGAUUUAUUGGGCGUAAAGCGAGUGCAGGCGGUCUUUUAAGUCUGAUGUGAAAGCCUUCGGCUUAACCGAAGAAGGGCAUCGGAAACUG